CCGCAUGUGGCUCGAGAGCCGCAGUUUGCCUUGGCAACUGGUAAAACAAGGUUUGACUCUCGGGGUGGGGGUGUGCUCUGUAUUUGAGAUGCAAAUGUAGGUACCAUCAGCAUGUAAAUGUAUUUGAUGCCUGGAAAAAGGUGAGAUUAACCAGUGGAGAGUUGGGGGAGGGGAGACUGUGAGAGACCUUGGAUGGAACCCAGCGGAGAUUUCACAAAUGGAAUAGCUGGACGAGCAGGAAGCUGGUCCCUGCUGAGUCAGAGGCUGGCAUCCUCAGAACAUGCUCAUUCCUGCGAGCUUCUCUCCAUCCUUGCCCCAGUCAGCCUUCAGGCCAACUGGACUUUUCUGGAAGCUCAAAAAUCUUUAGUGAAAGAUGGAGUCGAAAGAGAACCAGAGAGAUCGUGGUGUGAGAAGGAUUCAGCCCAAUGUUGCUGGCUAUGAAGAUGGAAUAAGGGGCCACAAUCAGGGAAAACAGGAGUCUUCUGGAAGCUGGAAAAGGGGAGACAGACUUCCUGGCCAGUGGAGCAGCCCUGAAUACCAGAAGGCGGUGGAUUGAAGUGGGAUGCUGUCAGUGGGCUGGAAACGGUUCCCAAGCUUCAGGUGAACUCAGAGGUGGACCAGGCAUCCAUAGUGUCAACAGCCUCUGCCACAGCACCCAGCUGUAAGCAGCCAAGCCAGGAUUUAAACUGGGCUGUGUCUGCUUGGAGCCCACGCGCCUAACCCAGAGGACUUCCCUGCAACACUUGAGUCCAUUCAGUGUCCCUCUUUGUGAAAUUCUCUGGGUUUGAUGUUAGCUCUUUUCUCAUUCUCCCUCAAACCUUUUUGGCUACAUCUUAUUCAGUUUUGAUAUGUCCUCUUUCCGUGUCUGACUCCUAUCCACACACCCCAGCACUGAUGUUCAUCAGGUUGUCUUUGACUUUCUCAUACUCUUCCUUCUGGAGCCAUGCUGUCCAAUAAAUACGGUAAGCCAACCCCACAAGUGGCUAUCAAAUGCUUAGAAUGUCAACUGAGAUGUUCUCUCAGUGGAAAAAAUGCACUGGAUUAUGAAGACUUGAAAAAAAAAGAAAAGAAAAAUUAUCUCAAUAGCAUUUAUAUUGAUUCAUCUUGAAAUGUAGUAUUUUAGAUAUGUUGGAUUAUAUAAA